rnacentral:rRNA from 1 species
GGGCGCAGCUAAUAAAUGCAAGUCGAGCGGACAGAUGGGAGCUUGCUCCCUGAUGUUAGCGGCGGACGGGUGAGUAACACGUGGGUAACCUGCCUGUAAGACUGGGAUAACUCCGGGAAACCGGGGCUAAUACCGGAUGGUUGUUUGAACCGCAUGGUUCAAACAUAAAAGGUGGCUUCGGCUACCACUUACAGAUGGACCCGCGGCGCAUUAGCUAGUUGGUGAGGUAACGGCUCACCAAGGCAACGAUGCGUAGCCGACCUGAGAGGGUGAUCGGCCACACUGGGACUGAGACACGGCCCAGACUCCUACGGGAGGCAGCAGUAGGGAAUCUUCCGCAAUGGACGAAAGUCUGACGGAGCAACGCCGCGUGAGUGAUGAAGGUUUUCGGAUCGUAAAGCUCUGUUGUUAGGGAAGAACAAGUACCGUUCGAAUAGGGCGGUACCUUGACGGUACCUAACCAGAAAGCCACGGCUAACUACGUGCCAGCAGCCGCGGUAAUACGUAGGUGGCAAGCGUUGUCCGGAAUUAUUGGGCGUAAAGGGCUCGCAGGCGGUUUCUUAA